rnacentral:rRNA from 1 species
GAUGAACGCUAGCGGCAGGCUUAAUACAUGCAAGUCGAGGGGCAACAUGGUGUAGCAAUACACUGAUGGCGACCGGCAAACGGGUGCGGAACACGUACAGAACCUUCCUUCGAGCGGGGAAUAGCCCAGAGAAAUUUGGAUUAAUACCCCAUAGUAUAAUGAAGAGGCAUCUCUUUAUUAUUAAAGAUUUAUCACUUGAAGAUGGCUGUGCGGCUGAUUAGGUAGUUGGCGGGGUAACGGCCCACCAAGCCUACGAUCAGUAACUGGUGUGAGAGCACGACCAGUCACACGGGCACUGAGACACGGGCCCGACUCCUACGGGAGGCAGCAGUAAGGAAUAUGGGUCAAUGGACGAAAGUCUGAACCAGCCAUGCCGCGUGGAGGAUGAAGGUCCUCUGGAUUGUAAACUUCUUUUAUAUGGGACGAAAAAAGACUUUUCUAAGUCGUCUGACGGUACCAUAUGAAUAAGCACCGGCUAACUCCGUGCCAGCAGCCGCCGUAAGAC